rnacentral:rRNA from 1 species
CAGCACCUCAAGUGGUCAGGAUGAUUAUUGGGCCUAAAGCAUCCGUAGCCGGCGCUGUAAGUUUUCGGUUAAAUCUGUACGCUCAACGUACAGGCUGCCGGGAAUACUGCAGCGCUAGGGAGUGGGAGAGGUAGACGGUACUCGGUAGGAAGGGGUAAAAUCCUUUGAUCUAUUGAUGACCACCUGCGGCGAAGGCGGUCUACCAGAACACGUCCGACGGUGAGGGAUGAAAGCUGGGGGAGCAAACCGGAUUAGAUACCCGAGUAGUCC